CACCUUCACAUUAACCACUGUAAUGGCCUCCCAACUUUUCUCCAAGCUUUUAUAUUUACAUGUGUCAUCUGUAUUUUCUCCUAAGGCAUGAUGCAAAUCUUAUAUCGACUCCCCAGGGUAAAUCCAACAGAGGCUUCUCAUUAUCUGAAAAGCAAAAUUGGAUGCAUACUUCUUGUAUGCCAUGCUCUGCCCUAGGAUCUUGGAAUACUCCUCAGAGUAAUGUAUCCAGAUGAAGAGAAUGACUGCAAGAUUCCAAAUGAAUUACAAGUGCAAGCCACCAUGCCCCGCUAACUUUUGUAUUUUUAGUAGAGACGGGGUUUCACCAUGUAGCCUAGGCUGGUCUUGAACUCCUGAUCUCAGGAGAUCUGCCCCCCUCAGCCUCCCAAACUGCUGGGAUUACAGGCAUGAGCCAUCACGCCCAGCCAACGUCACUAUUUUUGAAUCCCUAAUGAUGUAAAGAGUUCAGAAAAUGUUUCAUUAUUGUCAAUUUCUGUACCCUCUAAACAUACACACACAGACACAUACAGAGGUGAGGGAGCUGCAGAAGGAAAGCUUGAAGCUAACAGUAAUUGGUUCAUGAGGAUGGAGGUGUGAUGGGUAUUCCGGUAAUGUAUUUCUCAACACAUCUUCAUUAAUAAUGCACGAAGAGUGAACCCUUGGACUUUGCCAACUAGUUUUCUUGUAUUUUCUUCUGCUGUUUGCAGUUUUUGACAUUUUAGGGGAUUUUUUUUUUGUAAACUUUCAUGGGUAUUCACUGUAAAGUUGAGAAAAGGCACACUAUGCACUACAGAAUACCUACAUGUGAAUCAAAGAGUUUUUGAGGCCCAUUUGAAAUCAAGGAGACUAUUCUAGAUUGCUAGUUAUAUAUGCCUAUAUUUCCUCUAAGCCUCUGUGACAGUUAUUAGAUUGGGCUAUAAAAAUUUGAGAGUAUAUUGAAAACACAUAAAGAAGCACUUUCACAGAGAAA
rnacentral:lncRNA from 1 species